GUGUUAAUUUAUCUCCUUGUGGCUCCCAUUCAGUUGCAGGCUUCGGGAAAAGCAUGAGUUUCCUUGAGCGCUCCAUGGUCUACAGGCUGGGGAUUUUCUGGUUUCAUGGAAUGGAAGGGGCAGCUCUUAGGGGAUCCAGGCUCCAUGAAGAAGUCCCUGGUCCAGCUUCCCACCAGCUAUGGCCCAGCACCACAUCUUUAGUCCACGUGCAGGUUGAGAAGC